GGCACAUUAGCGACUCGGAAAGUGUCUCUUUGAGCCAGCUUGGAAUCAUUUACCGUCUAAUGCGCUACAGUGUGAUUCGACGGUAGAACUUCUACUUGGC